AUAUAGGGUAGAAGGAGAUUGGACAAUUACAAAUAUAGGUUGAUGAAGAAGAGCAUAAGGAUGGCUUACUAGUGGUGCUGGGGAAAAAAAGAAGCCUGGCCAGAUGCAAGCUGGGAAAUUUGGUCAUGCUAUUUGGCAUGUAUGAAAUUGUGGAAAAUUCUAUAAGAGAACCAUUGAGGACAUAAAAGGAUGAAAUGACUGCAAGCGUUGAGCAAAGACAAUUCAAGAGCAAG